GAAAAAAGAAAAAGACCAAUCUAUAUACAGAUAUUGAGUUUUUAUUAUCUCUUUAAAUUUGAUUGAUUUACUAUUUCACAAACAGGUAUAGUGCUUACAGUAAAAUACAAGCAAGACUAGGUAGUAAUAACCAAUGCCAAAAAACUGAAAAACACAUAGCGUAGAGCCAGCAACUAGUUAGAUGAUAUAUACGCCAACAACACUGCUUAAACGAUUGCCAACCUAAGGAAAAAUUCUAUCAAACAUCCUGAGUUCUCACCCAUGAGAUAAGGCUGUUUACAUGAGGUAGAUAUGUACCAGAUAAUGGGAAGCCAUGCUUAUCCAUCUCAACCUUUCUCAUAACUUGGAAUCCGAAGUCAUAAGCAUAAAAUGAACCAUCUUCAUCCCUCUUGAAUAUCAAAUCUCCACUGAUUCUCAAACUGAAAAUGGGAACCAUGUCAAUGACGCUACCUGUAGAGAUGCUAUACUGCUUCAUCCAAACUCCACCAUUUAAACUCUUCAAAUUCCAAAUAUCUAUGUCUAGUUCGUGAUGGGUGACAAAACAUAGGAAACCAGCCAUCUCAAUAAUCCUGUCAUAAGUUCUGCCACUCUUGGGGAGUGGUACGGUAUGAAACUUCUCAGUGCCAACUUCCAUGGAUACUAUGUAAUCGUUAUGAUCAAUUUGAGGAAGCCAAUGCAGAGCUCCAAUUGCGGAAACUGGCAUGUACCCAAACCAACCAAAAAGUCCAAAAGAAGGUCCAUUCACUUCCCUCCACAUUCUUGUCCCAAGGUUUAAUAUCUCACAACUGACAUAUCCCAACUCAUCCCGAAACAAGUGUACCACUUUAUAUUCUCCAGUAGCAUCAUUUAGUGCAAAGCCAUACGAUUCAUCCUGAGGAGGAUAUAUAGUACCUAGAGGAAGUGCAAUAAGCUUCCUUGUUACAGGAUUCAUCACUAUCAGUCCCCCUUUCCUCAGUUUGUUAUCAAGCAAAAUUAGACCAUUGCAUGUUGUAGCUCUAAUAUGGCCCAGGCAGCUCAGAUUAUACUCUCGUAUCUUGCUUUUUCCCUCUUUAAAUUCCAUAAACUGGAUGGAAAAUUUUGGUGCCCCACUGAAGUUUGGUUGCCCAAAAAUGGGGACAGGUUCCGAUUGAAGAAAACUUGUUUCAACACAGAAGUUAUUUGGUUGCUCUGGUGGCAUUGAUGUGACAGAAUAAGGGUAUAAUCUUUCUCUUGGAACUGAUUUUUGAAAUAUCAACACAGAUUCAGAGCGACAAAGAUGGGCAUCAAUAAAUGUGGGGCUGUUAAUUAUACUGUACCAAGGCUUGCAAACAAACCUUGAACUUUGAAGUGACUCUAGAGGAAGCUGGAUAAGGAUAUUUGAGAUGCAAUCUUUAUGAAGAUAAGGUACAUGCUGCUUCUUUUGCUCAUCUUCCACCUUCUUGAACAGGGCUCUCUCUUCUACAGAUUUCAACAACCCUACAUUCUUGUUUCCCACGGAUUUGGCCAUUAUAACUUAUUAAUCCUCACUGAUCACUGAAAAAGUUUAAAGAACUGUUAAAAUAACCCCAUUUAUAGCAUAAAAAACUAAUAAAAUACGGUUUGAAACAUAAAAUCCUAACAGAAUUAACUCUCUUAACAUAAUAAAAUAAAUAACCCCAAUCACAAUAGAAUUAGCUCUUGAUGAACAUAACACGGUCAAUUAAAAAUAACCCCAAAUUUAAAUUUUCCACAGUGGAGUGAAUAGUAAAAAUUGCUCUGCAAGGUCUUUCUGCGGAUGGGGAAUGACGAGUCUGCAAUUAUAUCUCUCAUAAAGAGAAUUAUGAUAAUUAGAACCUGUGAAUCUACCAACAGGAUUGUAAUUUACAGACACAGUCCUUCCCAAAAGAAGAUAGCUGAAGGGUCUAAAACAUCUAACAUGUCAACCAAAGGAUCUGGUGCCUCAAGAGUGAUAAUCAUAAAUGAUUUAAAGAAAACUGGGGAAAAACCUAUGGGGAGAUGAACACAGCCUAUAAUAAUUAAACUUUGCCAGUAGCUAGUAGCCCAAUGAUCAGUAGUUGACUUGUAAACUACAGCUAAUCAAUCAUGAACACAAAUUUAAACAAACAACAGUAGCCCAAAUAACAUUUUUCUUAGAGCAAUUGACUAGUAUACCAACAAUGAUCUGAACCAGCAACAACGAUCAUACAAAUAAAAGAAAAAUUAGAUACCCAUUAGACCAAAUCAAGAAAACUAGUUAAAAAAUCUCAAAUUGAGCAGUGAAGCAUCUCUGAGAAUAAGAAGAAUCAAAGAAU
rnacentral:misc_RNA from 1 species